GAAGGGUUCCCCAUCCUCAACAACAUUAGGGGGAAUCCCUUGUUCUGGUACCGCCAUACUUUUGCUACCAUGAACCAUCCUCUUCUGAAAUAUGCGAGAAAAUGCACCAAAUUAAAUGGGAUAGGAUGGGAUGGGAUGCGAUGUCAUGGGCUUCAUGAUCCUCCCAUCCCCUCUCUCUACGGUCUCGGCGGCAAGGGAAAGGAGCAGGAAAUGAAAGGAAGCAAGUCAGAUUUUGGGGUGAUGGCGAUCCAACAAGUGAAGUCGCGUGGGGAGAUGGAAAAUGAGUGGGAGUGGGAGGGAGGGAGAUGGGUAGAUAGGCGAGUUACCUCUACGAACAAUGCUGCGCUGGCGCUGGCGGUGAAGCAAUCGGCGAAGGAGAUUGCGA
rnacentral:misc_RNA from 1 species